UGCCAGCAGCCGCGGUAAUACGGAGGGGGCUAGCGUUGCUCGGAAUUACUGGGCGUAAAGAGCACGUAGGCGGGUAUUCUAGUCAGGCGUGAAAGCCCCAGGCUCAACCUGGGAACUGCACCUGAUACUGCCAGUCUAGAAUACGGUAGAGGGUAGUGGAAUUUCCUGUGUAGCGGUGAAAUGCGUAGAUAUAGGAAGGAACACCAGUGGCGAAGGCGACUACCUGGACCGAUAUUGACACUGAGGUGCGAAAGCGUGGGGAGCAAACAGGAUUAGAUA
rnacentral:rRNA from 1 species